rnacentral:lncRNA from 1 species
GAGGAAACAGAGGUAGGCCCCAAACUGCCCGUCACAGAGACUCCAUUUCUGCCCCCUCCCCAACUCUACCCAGGAACCCUCGGCUCUUCCCAACCUGAACUAGGGCUGGGGCUUCUCUGCGAAUCCCUCCGGCCCGGUCACUGUCGCCCAUGGUUGCCUCGGUCUGAUUUAGACCUUCCAGGACCCAGUGCGGCUUCACUUUGUCUGACACACGCCAUCACCGAGGUCAGUGAGGCUCGGAGACCUUGCCCCUGCCACCUCCCCCAACAGCGCAGGUCCUUCUUUCCCUUCUACUCUUCGGCGGCCUCGGCCUGCGCGCCGCACGAUCGUGGAUGGGGACGGUUACUCGGGGAGCGCACCGCUUUUCCCACAGACCCAGCUCGUCCACAGCCCUGGACACCCUCCUCCCCCACCCCCAGUAUCCGGUGCGGCGCCGCCCGGGAGGGCAGGCGGGGCGCACCGACGGGGGACCAACCCCGCGGUCUCACCUGCUCUGCUUCCACAUCGAGGCGCCCGGCUGCAGCUGGUGGGGGGCUCCCGCUCCGUGCCCGCCAGUGUGGGGUUCCCGGGCUCGCUCCUCGGCGCGGUGGGGGAGCCGAGGGCGGGCCGGCAGAGGUGGGGCUGGCGGAGGGCGGAAACGGCGGCGACGCGAUUACGAAACCCGUCCGGCUGGGAGCCGGGCGCACAGCUCCCCCCUGGACUGAGGAGGCGCUGCACCCGGAGCGCCGUGGGAGGCGGCCUGGGAAGCCCCCGAGGGCCGCCGCCCCUGCUGGGCCAAGCGCGGAAUGCGGACCCCUGGACGAGGGCCGGACAUCCAGGCUGGGCCCCCGGAAUCGCACGUUCCCUUUGCGCGCCGAGGCAAAACGAAGCGGAGCCCCUAGAUCCCCCCAGCCCAAUUCCGAGAUUCUCAGAAGCAUCUCCCCCAAUUUUCUGUGCUCUACCCCAAGUGGAACAGGGCUCCGUUUAUUGGGGAGGCGAGUUGGGAGGAGUAGGGAUUGGAGGAAGGGAGGCAGAAUUUUCCUGAUUCUCAAAACCACUUCGUAA